UACGUAGGGGGCAAGCGUUGUCCGGAUUUAUUGGGCGUAAAGAGCGUGUAGGCGGCCAGGUAGGUCUGCUGUGAAAACUCGAGGCUUAACCUCGAGAUGUCGGCGGAAACCAUCUGGCUAGAGUCCGGAAGAGGAGAAUGGAAUUCCCGGUGUAGCGGUGAAAUGCGUAGAGAUCCGGAGGAACACCGAAGGCGAAGGCAGUGUCCUGGGGAGUACCUGACGCUCAGGUGCGAAAGCCAGGGGAGCGAACGGG
rnacentral:rRNA from 1 species